rnacentral:antisense_RNA from 1 species
GCCACACACCCCGAGCCCUGCCUGCGGGCCCAGCCCCCCCAUUUCCGGAGCCUGCACCCCGGACCCAGCGGGGGCCGAUCCCUGGGAAAGGCCUGGCUUCCUUUUCCUUCCUGUCCCUGCCCCACCUCCGCCGGGCUCCACAGCCGCCGGGAGUCCAGGGCCGAGACGGGAGGAGGGUACCCACCUGGUCGGUGUCACAUGCUGCUUCGGCCCCAGCGUCCCCUCCAGGUCCCGGCGCCGGCCGCAGUCCCCAGCGCCGUCCCCAGCGCAGGCCCGGCCGCCCCACCCGCGGCCCGCCCCUGGCCGCCCGACGGGAGGGAGGGAUCGGGUUCUCCUAGGAAGUUUCAGUAUGCAUUCUUAGAAACCAGAUAUACAAAGACAAGCUCUCUGCUUUCAAGAAGCUCUCAAUCUGAUCGAGGAGAGAAACAGGUAGCAAAUAAUGACAGCAGAGCGUGAACUGGGAAGAAAGGACCCUGAAAAGUUAGCUGGUUCCAAGUGACCCUCCAAGGGGAAGAGUGCUGGAUUCAGAGCCCACCUCUGGGGAAGACAGGACCCUCUCCAAGGUGGCUUCCCUAGAAGCUACUACUUCUCCCUGGAGGGUGGAGAUAUUUGCUGGUCAAAGCAAGAAGGCCCUCUGCAGAUGCUGACAACUUGAUAUUGGAUUUCCCAGAUUCCAGAACUCUGAGAAAUAAAUUUCUAUUUUAAAU